rnacentral:rRNA from 1 species
GUUAGUGGCGAACGGGUGAGUGACACGUGGGUAACCUACCCUUAAAUGGGGAAUAACUUCGAGAAAUCGGGGCUAAUACCGCAUGAUGUCCCGUUCCAUAAGGAACGGGACUAAAGGUCCCGUAAGGGAUUGUUUAAGGAUGGGCCCGCGGCCUAUUAGCUUGUUGGUAGGGUAAUAGCCUACCAAGGCGAUGAUGGGUAGCCGACCUGAGAGGGUAUACGGCCACACUGGGAUUGAGAUACGGCCCAGACUCCUACGGGAGGCAGCAGUGGGGAAUUUUGGACAAUGGGGGAAACCCUGAUCCAGCGACGCCGCGUGAGGGAUGAAGGCCUUCGGGUUGUAAACCUCUGUCAGAGAGGACGAAUUAGCUCCGAUUCUGUCGGAGCAGGACGGUACUCUCAGAGGAAGCCACGGCUAACUCCGUGCCAGCAGCCGCGGUAAUACGGAGGUGGCAAGCGUUAUCCGGAUUCAUUGGGCGUAAAGGGCGUGUAGGUGUCCCGAUAAGUCAAGUGUGAAAUCCUUCCGCUUAACGGAAGAACUGCAUUUGAAACUAUGGGGAUUGAGUACAGGAGAGGAGAGUGGAAUUCCUGGUGUAGCGGUGAAAUGCGUAGAUAUCAGGAGGAACACCGGUGGCGAAGGCGACUCUCUGGCCUGAUACUGACACUGAGACGCAAAAGCUAGGGGAGCAAACAGGAUUAGAUACCCUGGUAGUCCUAGCCGUAAACGAUGCUCACUAGGUGUGGGAGGUAUCGAUUCCUUCUGUGCCGCAGCUAACGCAUUAAGUGAGCCGCCUGGGGAGUACGACCGCAAGGUUGAAACUCAAAGGAAUUGACGGGGGCCCGCACAAGCGGUGGAGCAUGUGGUUCAAUUCGACGCUACGCGAAAAACCUUACCGAGAUUUGACAUCCCGACGACAGUCCCGGAAACGGGAUUUCCCUUCGGGGCGUCGGGACAGGUGGUGCAUGGCUGUCGUCAGCUCGUGUCGUGAGAUGUUGGGUUAAGUCCCGCAACGAGCGCAACCCCUACCCUUAGUUGCCAGCGGAUAAUGCCGGGCACUCUAAGGGAACUGCCUCGGAUAACGGGGAGGAAGGUGGGGAUGACGUCAAGUCCUCAUGCCCUUUAUGUCUCGGGCCACACACGUGCUACAAUGGUCGGUACAAAGGGUUGCUAACCCGCGAGGGGGAGCCAAUCCCAAAAAGCCGGCCUCAGUUCGGAUUGAAGGCUGCAACUCGCCUUCAUGAAGUCGGAAUCGCUAGUAAUGGCGCAUCAGCACGGCGCCGUGAAUACGUUCCCGGGCCUUGUACACACCGCCCGUCACACCAACCGAGUCGGGUGUACCCGAAGUCGUUUUUCUAACCCUGAGAUUCGUCGAAGGGAGGAGGGCGCCUAGGUGUGCCUGGUAA